rnacentral:rRNA from 1 species
CAGUCGCCGCGGUAAAACGAAGGGUGCAAGCGUUACUCGGAAUUACUGGGCGUAAAGCGUGCGUAGGUGGUGGUUUAAGUCCGUUGUGAAAGCCCUGGGCUCAACCUGGGAAUUGCAGUGGAUACUGGGUCACUAGAGUGUGGUAGAGGAUAGUGGAAUUUCCGGUGUAGCAGUGAAAUGCGUAGAGAUCGGAAGGAACAUCUGUGGCGAAGGCGACUAUCUGGGCCAACACUGACACUGAGGCACGAAAGCGUGGGGAGCAAACAGGAUUAGAGACCCCCGUAGUCCCUGUCUCUUAUAC